UGUACUCCAGUGAGAGGGCAUUUACAUGUCACUCUAUGUGUCAGUCUAUUGCUUUUCCUGCUCAGCAAUCACUAAACCAGGCAAUUGUUAUUUUCCUCUCUAAUGCAAAUGGAGCCAUGCUAGCAGCAUGGUUCUAGGAAUGGCAAUCUCUUUAACUACUGAACUGCCACCAUAUUAUGUACAAACCAUUUGCUGUGCCAAAAGGAUAAAUUCUAAGGACCUGCACCCCUGGGUCCCUGGAGUCCGGCAGGCUUGGCUCAGCGGCAGAUAGACAUUUCUGGGAUAGGCAUCUACUGCUCAGGACCACGCAAUCAUUUCCAUUUUACCCUCUGUUGCACAGGCAAGAUAAGACACCUGCGUAGCCCCGCUAAUCAGAUGAGCUUCAACAGAACUUUAUCAUUGACAUUUACCACUGUUUACCCAACUAAUUUCUCUUAACUGCACUGCUGAACUUUUAUCUACAAAAUACAUACACCACCAGAAAAGAGCAAGAAGCAAACAUGCAAAUUCACAAAUAUGCGAAGAAAGAUAAAAUAAGGUGGAAAAAACUAAAAGCUUUUUUUUUUUCCU